rnacentral:hammerhead_ribozyme from 1 species
ACAUUGCUGACAAGUCCCAAACAGGACGAAACAGCUGUCCAGUGC